rnacentral:rRNA from 1 species
CCUACGGGUGGCAGCAGUGGGGAAUAUUGGACAAUGGGCGAAAGCCUGAUCCAGCCAUGCCGCGUGUGUGAAGAAGGCCUUCGGGUUGUAAAGCACUUUCAGUGGGGAAGAAAGCCUUGGGGCUAAUACCCUCGAGGAAGGACAUCACCCACAGAAGAAGCACCGGCUAACUCCGUGCCAGCAGCCGCGGUAAUACGGAGGGUGCGAGCGUUAAUCGGAAUUACUGGGCGUAAAGCGCGCGUAGGCGGUCUGAUAAGCCGGUUGUGAAAGCCCCGGGCUCAACCUGGGAACGGCAUCCGGAACUGUCAGGCUAGAGUGCAGGAGAGGAAGGUAGAAUUCCCGGUGUAGCGGUGAAAUGCGUAGAGAUCGGGAGGAAUACCAGUGGCGAAGGCGGCCUUCUGGACUGACACUGACGCUGAGGUGCGAAAGCGUGGGUAGCAAACAGGAUUAGAUACCUUGUAGUC